GGCUUCAACAGGAGAUGAUCAGCACUCACUAUUGUCCAUAUUGCACAAUCGAUAAAGACAGAGGCUGCUUUUCGAGGACAACCAGUAAGGACAGAGGAGGAGGAUGCCUGGGAGAGACAGUUUGACUUCAAAGAACUUAAAGAAGAUGACUUUGAGGGGCUUUUCAUUCCUAUCAACUUCGUGGAUACCUUCCUUGCUGCUGAAGACUCAACUUCAAUGAUCGUGGGUGUAUUUGUCGGUUUUGAGAAGAACCAGGUUACGCACAUCCUACUCCCUCCGCAGUGGAGCACAGACAGAGAACUGCACAUUUCCGACAUUCCCAUGGACAAUAUCCACAUGAGAGGGAUGUCGCUUAUGGGCUUUGUGCGGACAUGAUCAUUUCUUGACAUUGUGUUGACUCCUACACCUGACGAUGGAACUGCACAUUUCCGACAUUCCCAUGGAAAAUAUCCACAUGAGAGGGAUGUCGCUUAUGGGCUUUGUGCGGACAUGAUCAUUUCUUGACAUUGUGUUGACUCCUACACCUGACGAUGUAAAUACUUUGGCGAAGAAAGUGUAAUGGGUAUAUGCAGCAGCGACGGUAUGAUGUUGUUUAACAUAACCAAGGAGGCCUUUGCAUGGGGGAAGAAGGAAAAUGCUAAAGCUGAUAUGGGGAGGUUUCCUCCACAGCAUAGUCUCAAGGCUAGGUGGAAGAGUGAUGCAACAACACCUGUCCGUUUCUUGGUACCUCCCGUUUGGAACUACAACCUCGAUGUGCCUAGUUAUUCUGAUCACAUGCACUACUCCCUUGAAGUUUCAACUGUUCCGUAUGUCAAGAAGAUUAAGAGGAAGCAUAAGAAGGGGGGGGAGAGGAAGUAUUGGUAUUGAGCCACUUGUCACAACCGAUUUUGUAAAUGAAAUAGCUUUAAUCUUCAAGUUCGGAUAAAAGUGUUCUUUACUUUACCCACACACUCUUAUGAUCUAAAUCUGAA